GACCUGAACAUCUCUUCAGGGUUCUAUUUAAUCAUAGCUAUCUAAUUUUUUUCUAAUCUGUACUAUAAUCUGUUCUCUCAGAAAAAUGAGGAUCGAGGAAGAAGCAAGUAAUGUCUCAUCCAUGUAGAUUUAAAUUUGACAUGUUGAAAUUAUUGGCAAUUGCGUGUAUUUUUGUUAUGAAAUGUCUCAUUUAUAGACAAUGUAGAGAGAAAAAACUGUUACAUAAAAUAGCAGCAGAACAUUAAGAAAUAUAGUAUUUGCAGACAUUUAAAGAAUGACGUUACUCUCUAAAAUAUGUCAGAGCUAUUUCCAUUAUACAUUUUUAAAUCUUGAAGAAAAUAACCUUUCAAAAACUUUCCUAGAGAGAGCAAAGAUUUCUCAGAAGUUGUGUUCAAAGACCGGUCCGUCUGGCUGUUGCAGAAUUCUGAUGUCUCCAAGAACGGCGUGUCCUCUAGAAUCUGUUCAGCUACAACCCCACAGAGACAGUCUCCUGAGAUUGACCCUGCCUUUAGCCAAGGACCAAGGCACAAGAAAAGCAUCUUUAGCAAAGAUUAUCGAAGGGCAGGAAAUUGAAGAGGAGACUUACCUCGGCAAUCUUCCCUUUGGUGCCCAAGAAGGACUUAAAAUACCACAGGCUCAUGGGCAGUGACCCUGUUCAACAAGGUCUAAAUUCAUAUAUUAAACAUUUGAUCAUAAUCAGAG
rnacentral:lncRNA from 1 species